UCCGUAGGUGAACCUGCGGAAGGAUCAUUAUUGAAUCAAGUUGUUGCUGGCUCUCCCUUGGAGUGCAUGUGCACGCUUCUUUAUUUCUCCAACUGUGCACGAAUUGUAGACCCUGGUCUAUGUUUUUCACAAUCUCUGAAUGUAUUAGAAUGGUUGUAAUAAAUAAUAUUAUACAACUUUCAGCAACGGAUCUCUUGGCUCUCGCAUCGAUGAAGAACGCAGCGAAAUGCGAUAAGUAAUGUGAAUUGCAGAAUUCAGUGAAUCAUCGAAUCUUUGAACGCAUCUUGCGCUCCUUGGUAUUCUGAGGAGCAUGCCUGUUUGAGUGUCAUUUGAAACUUCUCAACUGCCUUUAUAUGCAGCUUGGAAAUGGGGGAUUGGCUUUGCAGGCUUUUUUUUUGUCUGCUCCCCUGAAAUGUAUUAGUGGUGUCUGGGCGGACUAGCCACAGGUGUGAUAACUAUCAAUACCUUGGUUGUAUCUGCUGCUGCUGCUUGACCCUAAAUGACCAACUUGACCUCAAAUCAGGUAGGAUUACCCGCUGAACUUAAGCAUAUCAAUAAGCGGAGGA
rnacentral:rRNA from 1 species